rnacentral:rRNA from 1 species
CGGGGUGAGCAACACGUGGAUAACCUACCUAUAAGACUGGGAUAACUUCGGGAAACCGGAGCUAAUACCGGAUAAUAUAUUGAACCGCAUGGUUCAAUGGUGAAAGACGGUUUUGCUGUCACUUAUAGAUGGAUCCGCGCCGCAUUAGCUAGUUGGUAAGGUAACGGCUUACCAAGGCAACGAUGCGUAGCCGACCUGAGAGGGUGAUCGGCCACACUGGAACUGAGACACGGUCCAGACUCCUACGGGGAGGCAGCAGUG